rnacentral:sRNA from 1 species
UACUGAACAGCGGCGCAGUAUCCUAGUCAGAUCUGCCGUUUCCCAAGAGGGGCCUAAAAAUCCCUUAAAGGGCACAACUGUGAAACCUUUGGUGCUUGCUUCUUACGCCCAGUUUGGGGUGGGUGCUGGAGGGAGGCGCGAGCCAUCGCGCCUGCGGAUUCAGGGCGACCGCCAAUGGCAUGGCGGACCCGACCCGGUUUCCGUGGAGACCUGCUGUUGUGGGUGGGCGUACUCCCUUUGCGGUAGCGACCCAUCUACGAGGCAGAUGAUUUGAAACCUGCAAUGCGGUGCUUAAGGCAAGUUUUGCCGGAACGCUGUGUGCAGAGUAGCCUGCCUUGCGUGGAUAUGUGCGAAUAGGGGAGCUGAUGCCCGCGUAUCUCUGGCCGGAGAUGCCGGGUGAUUCCCUUGAAACCUUAUCUGCAAAAGAGGAUAAGAAACGGUUUGACUGCUGUGGAAAUCACCUAGGCUGUCCCGAAAGGGGGCCUCAAGGGGACUGCAGUGCGGACUAAGUGGCAGUCGGGUAUCGCACCGGGCAACCGUGCGGCGCGGCACCGAAAGGGAAACCGCCUCCAUCGGCGACGAGAGGUGUGCCGCGGGGAAAGCCAACCCGUACCUAAGCCGCAAGAUUAAUCCUUGAGACCGCCC